rnacentral:misc_RNA from 1 species
GAUGAAGAACGUAGCGAAAUGCGAUAAGUAAUGUGAAUUGCAGAAUUCAGUGAAUCAUCGAAUCUUUGAACGCACCUUGCGCCCUUUGGCCAUUCCGAAGGGCAUGCCUGUUUGAGUAUCAUGAACACCUCAACUCUCAUGGCUUGCCAUGAUGAGCUUGGACUUUGGGGGUCUUGCUGGCCUGUGGUCAGCUCCUCUCAAAUGAAUUAGCUUUCCAGUGUUUGGUUGGCAUCACAGGUGUGAUAACUAUCUACGCUUGUGGUUUCCACCAGGUAACCUUCAGUAACAUGGGGGUUUGCUGGAGCUCAUAAAUGUCUCUCCUCAGUGGGGACAGCUCUUUGAACGUUUGAUCUCAAAUCAGGUAGGACUACCCGCUGAACUUAAGCAUAUCAAUAAGAGGAGGA